UGCAGUCGAACGAGCUUAGUUUUGUAGCAAUACAAAGCUGAGCUAGUGGCGAACGGGUGCGUAACACGUGAGCAAUCUGCCUUAAAGUGGGGGAUAGCUCGCCGAAAGGCGAAUUAAUACCGCAUGUGGUCCGGCUUCUGCCGGACCAAAGCCGGGGCAACCUGGCGCUUUUAGAGGAGCUCGCGGCCUAUCAGCUUGUUGGUGAGGUAAUGGCUCACCAAGGCUUCGACGGGUAGCUGGUCUGAGAGGACGACCAGCCACACUGGAACUGAGACACGGUCCAGACACCUACGGGUGGCAGCAGUCGAGAAUUUUUCUCAAUGGGGGAAACCCUGAAGGAGCGACGCCGCGUGGAGGAUGAAUGCUUUCGGGUUGUAAACUCCUGUCAUUUGGGAACAAAGCCUUACGUUAACUGCGUGGAGGUUUGAUAGUACCAGAAGAGGAAGAGACGGCUAACUCUGUGCCAGCAGCCGCGGUAAUACAGAGGUCUCAAGCGUUGUUCGGAUUCAUUGGGCGUAAAGGGCGCGUAGGCGGCGGGGUAAGUCGGGUGUGAAAUCUCAGAGCUCAACUCUGAAACUGCACUCGAUACUGCUUUGCUAGAGGACUGGAGAGGAGAUUGGAAUUCACGGUGUAGCAGUGAAAUGCGUAGAUAUCGUGAGGAAGACCAGUGGCGAAGGCGGAUCUCUGGACAGUUCCUGACGCUGAGGCGCGAAG
rnacentral:rRNA from 1 species